rnacentral:rRNA from 1 species
GUAGGAUGCGAGCGUUGUCCGGAUUUAUUGGGCGUAAAGAGUUCGUAGGUGGUUUGUUAAGUCUGAUGUUAAAGACUGAGGCUCAACCUCGGGAGUGCAUUGGAUACUGGCAGACUGGAGUGUAGUAGAGGCAAGCGGAAUUCCCAGUGUAGCGGUGAAAUGCGUAGAUAUUGGGAAGAACACCAGUGGCGUAAGCGGCUUGCUGGGCUAUAACUGACACUGAGGAACGAAAGCCAGGGGAGCAAAUGGGAUUAGAUACCCCAGUAGUCCUGGCCGUAAACGAUGGAUACUAGGCGUAGCGGGUAUCGACCCCUGCUGUGCCGCAGCUAACGCGAUAAGUAUCCCGCCUGAGUAGUACGGCCGCAAGGUUG